rnacentral:snoRNA from 1 species
GAGCUAUGAGGACAAACUUAGGACACCUUUGGAGGUUCCAAUGAAAGGAAUUGUUAGCCAACUGAGCUCA